rnacentral:misc_RNA from 1 species
UGAUCAACCUGUCUGUGCCAG